rnacentral:rRNA from 1 species
UGCAGUCGAACGAUGAAAGAGGAGCUUGCUCCUCUGGAUUAGUGGCGAACGGGUGAGUAACACGUGAGCAAUGUGCCCUUGACUCUGGAAUAAGCGCUGGAAACGGCGUCUAAUACCGGAUACGACCCUCGGAGGCAUCUCCAGGGGGUGGAAAGAACUUCGGUCAAGGAUCAGCUCACGGCCUAUCAGUUAGUUGGUGAGGUAAUGGCUCACCAAGACGACGACGGGUAGCCGGCCUGAGAGGGUGACCGGCCACACUGGGACUGAGACACGGCCCAGACUCCUACGGGAGGCAGCAGUGGGGAAUAUUGCACAAUGGGCGCAAGCCUGAUGCAGCAACGCCGCGUGAGGGACGACGGCCUUCGGGUUGUAAACCUCUUUUAGCAGGGAAGAAGCGAAAGUGACGGUACCUGCAGAAAAAGCACCGGCUAACUACGUGCCAGCAGCCGCGGUAAUACGUAGGGUGCAAGCGUUGUCCGGAAUUAUUGGGCGUAAAGAGCUCGUAGGCGGUUUGUCACGUCUGCUGUGAAAUCCCGAGGCUCAACCUCGGGCUUGCAGUGGGUACGGGCAGACUAGAGUGCGGUAGGGGAGAUUGGAAUUCCUGGUGUAGCGGUGGAAUGCGCAGAUAUCAGGAGGAACACCGAUGGCGAAGGCAGAUCUCU